UUUUGUCUAAACAGUGAACUUAUUGGAAACAAAGAGGUCAAAUUAAAUGGGUUACCCUAGGUGAUGCUGGCACUAAGUUCUUUCACGCCAAUGCUACUGUCAAGCAUCGACACAACCUUAUUUCGUCACUGAAGGACGAUAAUGGAAAUACGACCCUUUCUCAUACAAACAAAGAAACUGUGCUUUUUAAUGCCUUCAAAAACAUAUUGGGGACUUCUCAACAAACUUCCAUGGUUUUUAACUUACCAUCCUUGAUUCAGUCGAUUGAUAAUUUGUCAGAACUUGAGCACCCCUUCUCCUGUCAUGAGAUUGAUCAGAUCAUUAAAUGUCUGCCUUCAAAUAAAUCGCCAGGUCCAGAUGGAUUUAAUACGAACUUUGUGAAGAAAUGUUGGUUAGUGAUUGUGUGACGGAACCUCCCAAGUAAUUAGGCCCACCUACAGUUGUCCUUGUCCAACAGACAUCAGACAACCCUGUAGAUGUUCCUGAAUCACUUGACAAGUUCGGUAUCUUCUUUCUUACCUUUCCCAAGAGCGUUUUACCCGUCUUGCAGACAUUACAGAACAUCGGAGAUAUAGAAAUACGGAAGCGAUUACAUAAACUUACAUUUAUUUAGAAAGUAAGAUCAAGUUAUUUAUUACAGACCAGAGUUAUAUCCUAGGAGUGCAGAGUAAUAUUAUUACACAUAUCAAGGGAGGCAAAAACUCCUCCCAAUAGUUUAUAAACAAAAGUUCUAUAUGGAGGAUCCUUUCCUCCCGCACUUCAUUCCUUGUGUUCUUCCUUUGGUACCACCUUAGAGCAAAAGCAACAAAAAUUUGUUGCUUCCUCACCUAAAAACAACGGGGGAAUAAACCCUGAGUAUGGAAUUACUCAGCAAGUCUUACCCGACUAAAGAAAAGACUCUCAAGGGUAUGCUGGUUAAGGGAGUCAAGGUAAGGCUUUUCAAUAAUCAAAGACUCUGUUUUGCAGAAAUGCUUACUAAAGUAGAUCCUUAAAAAUCCAGUUUUAUUUGUCAAGUUAAGUAAAAUUAUCUGCAACUAGAGUUCUUUCUACCCUAGUUCAAUCACUUGACCUGCACUAGCCAAUUUCUUAACAAACCAUCAUCUUUAGUGGAUUGCUACGUGUAAGUCAGUGACCAAGUCUUCAUAACCGCGAAGGUACGACGAUCCGAACCGAUUAUACUCAACUGAGGAUCUCCAAUCACACGACAUAUGUAGCACUUAACCCUUGCAUAUGUCAACCCGCCACCGGGGUUCUUAAGACCAGAUCAGGUUCACGCAAACCGAGAGCACAGAUACACCACCGUCCAGCCUCUAGCUACGGAGGGUACACGCUACUCUCGCCACCGCUCCACGCCCAUUUCGUGUUAUCUUAUUCUGGCCUUAGUCUGCCCGAGGCAAGGCUUACCCAUGACGAGGCAUGUGACCAGCUAAAGGGUCCUCGGUCAUCAAGCCUACAUCGAGACGGUCCUUAAUCGACUCAGACAGAGACACUACACCGAGACUCCUUUCUCGUGCAAGUCACCCGCCCGGUCUCAGCUUAAUCAUUAAACCCAAAAACUUGGUACCUGGCAGAGGUACAUCUUUUCCGAUGUUGAAUCCAUCAAGGCCUUUGACAGAUCCACCAUCAAGUUUUAUUUUCGAAAACAUCCCACCCACUUUUGCCACAUCAUCUUUUGUAAAAACAAAACAUUUUGUUUUUCUAAAGCAAGGCUAAGCAUCAAAAUCUUUUGUAAAACAGGUGAUCAAGGAAGGUAAUCGAAUUCAAGGAAGGUAAUGCAGGAAUUGUUUUAUCAAUCAACUCCUAUCACCUAAUGCAUCAAGCAAGUGAGAAAGAUUUUAAAACAUCAAGGAAGGUGGCAAAUGCAUCGGGGCUUGCCUUCGUUAGUAGGUGAGUCAAGCUCGGAUCCACAAAUAUCAAAGUAGAAACAAUUUCCUGCCUGAGAUUCCGAAGGUGGUGGUGUCUUCUCUUCGGUCACUUCGAUCUCUUCUUCGUUUUCUAAAUAUAACCAUAUAGGUAUAUAUAAGAAUGAGUGCCAUGUAAUGCUCAUGAGAGUGCAAAGAUAAUAAAGGAUUUAUUAUCUAAGUCUUGAAUACAACUUUCCUUCACGGAACUCCGAGAACUUAGGGUUUCCGGAGUCAGUAAAGGAGUUCAAAGGGCAGGGGUGGGGAUUUUGGGUUCUAAGUAUCAAACAAGGUCCAAAUCAAACCAAACUCUACCCAAGGCUUCUAAAUAAUGUGUAGAGAUCAUAUAAAAAGUUUGGGCAAUUAUGGGAUUAACAUUUAUUUUCUAAAAAUCCAGAAUCGAUACUUUAGGGUAUUUUAAAUACCCCAAAAUUCCCUAUCUACCCUAAAAAUCAUGAGAUUAUUUUUAUUAAAUACUAUGGAAAAUAAGAAGUCUAGGAAAAUUGGUUUGGCAAUUUUAGGUUUUUUCUACAUUUUUCUAUAAUUGUUUUAGCUCUGGAAUAAAAAGAAAAGGAAAAACUUGUAACAGUAUUGGGCCGAUUCUGACCCAGGUCGGCCCAACAACGGGUGAAAGCGCGCCCGCGCACUGGCUGCUUUGCAGAAAGGCCCCCACAGUUUUGAAUAAUCCGAGAAAGUUCGAACACUAUUCAAAACAGUCGCUGACACUUUGCAGAAACGCCCUCAAAUUUCUAUUCCUUCUCCAAACACCUCCCUGGUCACGGCACGCUCGCCGUUCAUCCCUGGCAUGGCCCGUACCGGUCAUGGCCGGCGAUGACUGCUCGGGAUAACUAAUGGGGAGGCUUCACCGAUCUAAUAUGGCCUUGGAACACGCAUCAAUUUGACAGGAGCGCCAUGAGAAUGGUCUAUCCAUGUGCACGACGGAAACCGUGACCAUGGGCACGCGUUCCCGCUUAAUCAGGGACGAAUCGAGUAAACGGGCACCACGGUGAGCUUCACAAGUGUACAGAGCUGCAGAAACAACAUUUGAUAUAGGCAGGGGCUUACCAGGGUGGUCUGGCCACGGAGCGCGGAGGUUUGUGCUUGCCGGAGACAGAAAAGGGGGAAACCGGGGUCGCGGCGGCUCUGGGCGAAAUUGGGAGAUGGGAUCGGGGCUAUAGGACCGUAAGAGGCUGUGCUUUCACCGUGCGCAAUCAAUUUGGGCGAAGGUGGAGAGGGCAGUGCAAAUUUGACUUCGAUUUGGUUCACUG
rnacentral:lncRNA from 1 species